rnacentral:rRNA from 1 species
UUGGAGGGCAAGUCUGGUGCCGGCAGCCGCGGUAAUUCCAGCUCCAAUAGCGUAUAUUAAAGUUGUUGCAGUUAAAAAGCUCGUAGUUGAAUUUCGGGAUCAAAUUGUUGGUCGUGCUUCGGUACGCACUGGCAUUAUUGGUUCCUACCUUCUGAAGAACCGCGAUGUCAUUAAUUUGGUGUCGUGGGGAAUCAGGACUGUUACUUUGAAAAAAUUAGAGUGUUUAAAGCAGGC